CCAAGGAGUCUAACAUGUGCGCGAGUCAUGGGGUCCUCGUCUCUCCACGAAACCCAUCCAGGCGAAAUGAAAGUGAAGGCUCGGCUCGAAAGGGUCGCUGCCGUGGCAGGACCCCGUCUCCGUUCGUCUCUACUCGUUAGGGACGAGGAGCGGGUGCACUGCCGGCCCGUCUCGUCCGCGUCCUUUCGGCUUGUCGUCGUUUCGGCGGCGGCCGGUCGGUGAGGCUUUUGUCGGUGAGGCGGAGCAAGAGCGCACACGUUGGGACCCGAAAGAUGGUGAACUAUGCUUGAGUAGGACGAAGCCAGAGGAAACUCUGGUGGAGGUCCGUAGCGAUUCUGACGUGCAAAUCGAUCGUCAAACUUGGGUAUAGGGGCGAAAGACUAAUCGAACCAUCUA
rnacentral:rRNA from 1 species